AUACGGAGGAUGCGAGCGUUAUCCGGAUUUAUUGGGUUUAAAGGGAGCGUAGGUGGGAUAUUAAGUCGGCUGUGAAAGUUUGGGGCUCAACCUUAAAAUUGCAGUUGAUACUGGUUUCCUUGAGUACGGUACAGGUGGGCGGAAUUCGUGGUGUAGAGGUGAAAUGCUUAGAUAUCACGAAGAACUCCGAUCGCGAAGGCAGCUCACCGGGCCGGAACUGACACUGAUGCUCGAAAGUGCGGGUAUCAAACAGGAUUAGAUACCCUGGUAGUCCGCACAGUAAGCGAUGAAUACUCGCUGUUUGCGAUACACAGUAAGCGGCCAAGCGAAAGCGUUAAGUAUUCCACCUGGGGAGUACGCCGGCAACGGUGAAACUCAAAUGAAUUGACGGGG
rnacentral:rRNA from 1 species